rnacentral:lncRNA from 1 species
AUGCCCUGGCACCUCGGGGGGCCGCAGGCUUCGCAGCCCUGCUUCGGGCUGCGCAGCCUCUUGCCACGAACGCGGCACAGAUCCCCAGGUGGAUGUCAGCUCAAGACUUCGGCGGGGAGACGGGAGAGGAGCUCAGGGCCCCUGCGGGGGCCUGGGCGUGGAGGGGCCUCCCGGGAGACACGGCUCAGAGGAAAGGAGGCCAGUGCGAGGGGAGAAGUCUGGGAGGGGAGAGCGAGAGACGCAGCAGAUUCAGAGAGGAGAGAGAGGAAAGAGGGAGAGGGAUUGAAGGGGUGGGGAGAGAAGGGAUGGAAGCCAGCAGGAGAGGGGAGCCAGGAGGGAAGAAGGGAAGAGAAAGCGCAGGGGGAAACGCACGAAAUGAGGAGGGGCACGAGGAAGGGAGACCGAGAAGACAGGCUGGGGGGAGGCCCUGAGAGAGAGGCGGAGAGGGGAGACGGUGGCGGGGAGAACGACAGAGCCGGAGCCAGAGAAGAGGCAAGGGAGGCUGUGUCGCCUCCCGAGAGACGGGGCCCUUCCGGGUCGCCGGCAGUGUCCCCCGGCCCCGGGCGCGCGAGGAGCUGGAGACGGGCGGGGCUGGCGGUCCCGGGACGUGACCUGACUGUCGCGAAAUGGGACACCCAACACACGGGGCUGUCUGUUCGGGGGCAGGAGACGGGUGUCACCAGCUCGUGGGGGCGCCCGGCCAGGGGCCUCCCCGCUGUCGGAGGCGGCAGGGGGCCGGGGGCGCGGCCGGGGACCUGGGGGGAGGGGCAGAUGUGGGGCCGAGAGACCGACGGACGGGACGGGAUGAGGGAGACCCUCGGGGACGACGCCAGGCGGAGAAAUGGAGAAGGAAAAUGUUGGGGGGAGGGCGUGGAGGGGGUAGAGACGCAAGGGCGGGAGGACCCGGGCGGGGGCGGGGGGGGGGGGAGACGGAGCAGAAAGAGGAGUAGAAAGUCCUGGAAAAGAAGGUACAGCGAAAAGCCGAGCGGGAGUGUGGACAGAAGGGGGGGGGAUAGGAGACCCCAUGGAGGGACGGUGGGGGGACAGCAUCGGCGUGUGCGAGAGGGCCCGAGGCCGGGAGACGGGGAGGGGAGCAGGGACUGGCAGGUGGAAAGCAGGGGAGUGCUCCCCGAGCACAACCCGAAGAACGGGAGGUUGGCGAGGAAAAGAAGCUGGAAGCGAAGGAGACAGGAGUAGAGGAAGAGGAGAGGCGCGCAGAGAAGCGGAGGGAAGUGGGGGGGGGAGGGGGACCUGCCACACGGGGCCCCCAGAGCGGCCCCUCCUGUCCUGGGCGCUGCCGUGUGGAUGCCACCUCCGUCCCCGUCGCCACCGCCUGGAGGGCAAAGGGAGGGGGUAGACGAGGGGGCGGAGGGAAGCGGUACGGGGUGGGCUUGAAGUCCUGAGGGGAGGAAGGAGAGAAGCUUCCGGAGAGGGUGAGAGGCGAGAGCCGCGGGGCAGGGAGCCGGACCGGGUGGGGUUGGGUGGGGGAGAGUGAAGAAGGACCCGAGCUUGGGUUCAGAACUGGGGGAGGGGUGUGUGUGACAUCAAGAGUAACUCUGAGGAGCACGAGGAGGGGAAUAAAGAAACCCUGCGCGGGGGGUGUGGGGGGAGG